GAGUUUGAUCUUGGCUCAGGAUGAACGCUGGCGGCGUGCUUAACACAUGCAAGUCGAGCGAAGCAGUUAAGUUGAUUUCUUCGGAUUGAUUCUUAACUGACUGAGCGGCGGACGGGUGAGUAACGCGUGGGUGACCUGCCCCAUACCGGGGGAUAACAGCUGGAAACGGCUGCUAAUACCGCAUAAGCGCACAGAGCUGCAUGGCUCGGUGUGAAAACUCCGGUGGUAUGGGAUGGGCCCCGCGUCUGAUUAGGCAGUUGGCGGGUAACGGCCCACCAAACCGACGAUCAGUAGCCGGCCUGAGAGGGCGACCGGCCACAUUGGGACUGAGACACGGCCCAAACUCCUACGGGAGGCAGCAGUGAGGAAUAUUGGUCAAUGGGCGAGAGCCUGAACCAGCCAAGUAGCGUGAAGGAUGACUG
rnacentral:rRNA from 1 species